ensembl:lncRNA
CGGGAAUCGCUGGCGCCGGCUGCCAUCUAGCGGACAGCCGCCCGUCGGCCCCCGCCCCGCCGGGCCCCGCUCCCUGCGAGGCUUUCCGCGAGGUUCAUCAGCCCCCGCAAUCCACGCUGUUUUUCUGUUUCUUUCUUUCUUUCCUUUUUGCUUUGUUUUGUUUUCUUUCUUUCUUUUUUUUUUCUUUCCCAUUUUUUUUUAAAAGCGUUUUAAAAACAGGGAAAAACAAUAAGCAGAGUUGCACUCAGGAGGGAGAAGAAACCCCUUCUUUGUGACCGUGUGCAUCCUUUCCCGCUCCUACCUUCCCCCUUUCGGGAGAGGUCUGGGAUUUGCUUCGGGUAGAAAGAUUGCGGCUGACACAAAGAAACAAACAGUGGGGGAAAAAAAAAAAGAGAUAUAUAGGCACACAUAUAUAAAAAAUAAAGGAAAAAAAGGGAAAAGCCUGCCCUCCUCUCAGCUCCCAUAAAAGUUUAUCCUCAGACUGGAAGCCACGGUAAACCGUACGAUGGGAAAGGGGGUGAAAUACAUCUGACGGAAGUUUUAUUGUUAUUAUUUUAGAGAAGAGAGGUCGCUUUCAUUGAGAAAAAAAACCCCAAACCCUCCACUUUGAUGUAUCGCGGUCACAUUUAUUUUAUUUUUUUCCCCUGUCACUCUGAGGUCUGAGCCGGGAGCCGUCUGCGGGGGAGAAUCCGUCAUCAUUUCUGGGAUCAGAAUAAACGCCCGAUUUUGUCCCGAAAUAAUAAAGAGAUUUUCAAUGAGUCCCUCGGCCAAGCCGUCCCCAUUGUAUAUCGCAUUGAUAAAAAGGAUGUUAUUGACUAUGCAACAGUGGGCUCCUUUCCUCUCUCUCCCUCCUUCUAAAUAAACUCUCGGUCCUGUCUCCUGGUCAUUGAAAAGGUGAAACGAAUAAGAUUAAAUCAGACAAAAAAAGCACGCUCGGUAUGUAUAUCAUCCAGAUUUUACUCCCCAGACUGUGAAGAGACAGGGAGUAAAGGAGGCAGAGCAAGGCACAGAGAGAGAGGGAGAGAGAGAGAGAGAGAGAGAGAGACACAGACACAGACACAGAGGGAGAGAGCCUAAGCGGAGCCGGACGGACCAAGCGCCGCAGCCCGGUUCCUCGGGACCCGCUCCCCGCGGCCGCGGCCCCGCUCCCCGCCGGCCGACCCCAGUCCUACUGAAAGCCCACGGAGGGGACCUUGGGAGGCAGCGCGCAGCAGAUAGAGCCAUCCGCCCAGAGCUUCGCAGCACUAUGGAAGAAAAAUCUCUAUAAAACGAAAUAGGCAAUCAACUGAAAUCUAUCCUCUUUAAAUAAACUGAUUCCUUAGUAUUUUCCCAGUGUUGCUGUAAGUUGUUGUCUGUGAUGUCCCCCAGGGCUCUUUCCUCUGCUCUCUGAUUUGGUGUAUAAAAGCAGCUCUGAAUGAUGGAUUACUGUGUCAUUGCAGCCUGCGAAGGAUUAAUUUGUUUCAUUGAUUUCUCUUUAGGCAGAUUGCCAGAAUUCUCUGCUUCCCACCUUUCCCCGGGACUUCCAGCAGUAAUAGACAGUAAUAGCCUAAGACAAAUCAGCCCAUUCUUGUAAAAAUAGAAACGCAAAAUCCUGAAGUCCCAGGAAGGCUAUAAAGUAGGGCUUUUUUUUUUUUUUUUUUCUCUUCCCG